GACGAACGCUGGCGGCGUGCUUAACACAUGCAAGUCGAACGGAGCGAAUGAAAGCUUGCUUUUAUAAGCUUAGUGGCAAACGGGUGAGUAACACGUAGACAACCUGCCGACAGGAUGGGGACAACAUUCCGAAAGGAAUGCUAAUACCGAAUGAAGUGCAGGGGAGGCAUCUCCCCUGCAUGAAAGAUGGCCUCUGAAUAUGCUAUUACCUGUUGAUGGGUCUGCGUCUGAUUAGCUGGUAGGUGAGGUAACGGCUCACCUAGGCGACGAUCAGUAGCCGGUCUGAGAGGAUGAACGGCCACAUUGGGACUGAGACACGGCCCAGACUCCUACGGGAGGCAGCAGUGGGGAAUCUUCCGCAAUGGGCGCAAGCCUGACGGAGCAACGCCGCGUGAGUGAAGAAGGUCUUCGGAUCGUAAAGCUCUGUUGAUGGGGACGAACGUGCCUAAUGCGAAUAGUAUUAGGCAAUGACGGCACCCAUCGAGGAAGCCACGGCUAA
rnacentral:rRNA from 1 species